GACGAACCGUGCGAACGUUGUUCGGAAUCACUGGGCGUAAAGGGCGCGUAGGCGGACUUUUAAGUCGGAGGUGAAAGCCCAGGGCUCAACCCUGGAAUUGCCUUCGAUACUGGGAGUCUUGAGUUCGGAAGAGGUUGGUGGAACUGCGAGUGUAGAGGUGAAAUUCGUAGAUAUUCGCAAGAACACCGGUGGCGAAGGCGGCCAACUGGUCCGAAACUGACGCUGAGGCGCGAAAGCGUGGGGAGCAAACAGG
rnacentral:rRNA from 1 species